rnacentral:lncRNA from 1 species
AUGAACAUUCUGUGGUUUGCAUUAUCCCUGCUGCUCAGAAGUGUGUGCUCAGUACCUGAGGGACCCGAAAUGCAAUGUUUGGAAGUAGGACAAAACAUCUUUCUCAUGUGUCCAGACACAGUAUUUAAUGAAUCAGUGCUUGUGACCUGGAAGAUAAAUAGAACCAGUGGAGAACAGUGCAGUGCGGCUGUUCGGUUUGACCAAAAUCAAUCUCAACUGAACAGCACCUGUAAGUCCAGAGUAACAGUGCAGAUAGAGGGGGACAGAGCUGUGCUCUACAUCAGUGUCUUACACCAGUCCGAUGAAGGCAGUUACACCUGUGAGCAUGUUUACCAUGGAGGAAUGAAUACCACACACUUCAACAUCUGUACAAUGGGGUCCAACAGACAUAAUCCAAGUGAAAAUUCUCAUGUGAUACCAGUGAUCUGCAUCGCAUCCACAGCGGUGCUUAUAGUUAUAAGUUUAAUUCUGAGAAAAAGACUGACAGACCGUUGCAGGUAA